AUUAGAUAUUUUAUGCUCAGAUUCGGAGGAUAGGGGGUUACUAGUGACCUCAUAGUCGCAUGCAGGAGUGACUACCAGCUCUCAGACAUAGCACCGUGGUUGAGGACCUAUUCGGCUUUUGGCACCUUCGACUCAAUCAGAGGAUAGAGAGAUUAUCUAUAUCCAGAGCCAUCCAUAAGUACUACAUGCUCAAUUAAUAUGUUUAGAAUAUAGUAAUUUUAGAGUUAACAUUUAUUCUUUAAAAUUAAUUUUACAGCAUAUUCAGAGAGCCUUCUAUAUCUCAUGUCGUUAUCGAGAUCAUACGUCGAUUGAUGCC
rnacentral:lncRNA from 1 species